GACGAACGCUGGCGGCGUGCCUAAUACAUGCAAGUUGAGCGCUGAAGGUUGGUACUUGUACCGACUGGAUGAGCAGCGAACGGGUGAGUAACGCGUGGGGCAUCUGCCUUUGAGCGGGGGACCACAUUGGGAAACGAAUGCUAAUACCGCAUAAGAACUUUAAACACAAGGUUUAAGUUUGAAAGAUGCAAUUGCAUCACUCAAAGAUGAUCCCGCGUUGUAUUAGCUUGUUGGUGAGGUAAAGGCUCACCAAGGCGAGGAUACAUAGACGACCUGAGAGGGUGAUCGGCCGCCUUGGGACUGUGACACGGCCCAAACGCCUACGGGAGGCAGCAGUAGGGCAUCUUCGGCCAUCGACGAAAGACAGACCGAGCAACGCCGCGUCAGUGAAGAAGGUUUUCGGAUCGUAAAACACGGUUGGUAGAGAAGAACGUUGGUGAGAGUGGAAAGCUCAUCAAGUGACGGUAACUACUCAGAAAGGGACGGCUAACUACGUG
rnacentral:rRNA from 1 species